ensembl:snRNA U6 U6 spliceosomal RNA
GUGCUCGCUUCAGCAGCACAUAUACUAAAAUUGGAACGAUACAGAGAAGGUUAGCAUGGCCCCUGCGCAAGGAUGACACGCAAAUUUGUGAAGCGUUCCAUAUUAAA